rnacentral:rRNA from 1 species
AGUGGGGAAUCUUGGACAAUGGGCGCAAGCCUGAUCCAGCCAUGCCGCGUGAGUGAUGAAGGCCUUAGGGUUGUAAAGCUCUUUCGGCGGGGACGAUAAUGACGGUACCCGCAGAAGAAGCCCCGGCUAACUUCGUGCCAGCAGCCGCGGUAAUACGAAGGGGGCUAGCGUUGUUCGGAAUUACUGGGCGUAAAGCGCACGUAGGCGGAUGUCUAAGUCGGGGGUGAAAGCCUUGGGCUCAACCCAAGAAUUGCCUUCGAUACUGGACAUCUCGAGACCGGGAGAGGUGAGUGGAAUUCCGAGUGUAGAGGUGAAAUUCGUAGAUAUUCGGAAGAACACCAGUGGCGAAGGCGGCUCACUGGCCCGGUUCUGACGCUGAGGUGCGAAAGCGUGGGGAGCAAA